rnacentral:rRNA from 1 species
GACGAACGCUGGCGGCGUGCCUAACACAUGCAAGUCGAACGGAGAUUCAGCAAUGGAUCUUAGUGGCGAACGGGUGAGUAACACGUAGACAAUCUACCUUUUAGUUGGGGACAACAUCCCGAAAGAGUUGCUAAUACCGAAUAAGAUCUUUGGUCCGCAUGGGCUGAAGAAGAAAGAUGGCCUCUAUUUAUAAGCUAUCGCUAAAAGAUGAGUCUGCGUCUGAUUAGCUAGUUGGUGAGGUAAGGGCUCACCAAGGCGACGAUCAGUAGCCGGUCUAAGGGGAUGAACGGCCACACUGGGACUGAGACACGGCCCAGACUCCUACGGGAGGCAGCAGUGGGGAAUCUUCCACAAUGGACGAAAGUCUGAUGGAGCAACGCCGCGUGAGUGAAGAAGGCUUUCGGGUCGUAAAACUCUGUCUUCAGGGACGAAUGUACUGAUUGUGAAUAAUGAUCGGUAAUGACGGUACCUGAGGAGGAAGCCACGGCUAACUACGUGCCAGCAGCCGCCGUAA